rnacentral:piRNA from 1 species
UGAUACUCAUGAUACCAAGCGCUUACAAUC